UGCGGGGUGGUGUAAUCGGUAACACGCCUGACUCUGGAUCAGGUGAUCGGGGUUCGAGUCCCUGCCCCGCAG
rnacentral:tRNA from 1 species